rnacentral:rRNA from 1 species
CGGACGGGUGAGUAACACGUGGAUAACCUACCUAUAAGACUGGGAUAACUUCGGGAAACCGGAGCUAAUACCGGAUAAUAUAUUGAACCGCAUGGUCCAAUAGUGAAAGACGGUUUUGCUGUCACUUAUAGAUGGAUCCGCGCCGCAUUAGCUAGUUGGUAAGGUAACGGCUUACCAAGGCAACGAUGCGUAGCCGACCUGAGAGGGUGAUCGGCCACACUGGAACUGAGACACGGUCCAG